rnacentral:rRNA from 1 species
UACGUAGGGUGCGAGCGUUAAUCGGAAUUACUGGGCGUAAAGCGUGCGCAGGCGGUGAUGUAAGACAGGUGUGAAAGCCCCGGGCUUAACCUGGGAACUGCAUUUGUGACUGCAUCGCUGGAGUGCGGCAGAGGGGGAUGGAAUUCCGCGUGUAGCAGUGAAAUGCGUAGAUAUGCGGAGGAACACCGAUGGCGAAGGCAAUCCCCUGGGCCUGCACUGACGCUCAUGCACGAAAGCGUGGGGAGCAAACAGG